rnacentral:rRNA from 1 species
AGCGAACGCUGGCGGCAGGCCUAACACAUGCAAGUCGAACGAACCUUUCGGGGUUAGUGGCGGACGGGUGAGUAACACGUGGGAACGUGCCUUUAGGUUCGGACUAACUCAGGGACACUUGUGCUAAUACCGAAUGUGCCCUUCGGGGGAAAGAUUUAUCGCCUUUAGAGGGGCCCGCGUCUGAUUAGCUAGUUGGUUGAGGUAAUGGUGCACCAAGGCGACGAUCAGUAGCUGGUCUGAGAGGAUGAUCAGCCACAUUGGGACUGAGACACGGCCCAAACUCCUACGGGAGGCAGCAGUGGGGAAUCGUGCGCAAUGGGCGAAAGCCUGACGCAGCCAUGCCGCGUGAAUGAUGAAGGUCUUAGGAUUGUAAAAUUCUUUCACCGGGGACGAUAAUGACGGUACCCGGAGAAGAAGCCCCGGCUAACUUCGUG